rnacentral:rRNA from 1 species
GACGAACGCUGGCGGCGCGCUUAACACAUGCAAGUCGAGCGAGAACCAGGGCUUCGGCCCUGGGGAAAGCGGCGAACGGGUGAGUAACACGUGAGUCCUCCACCCUCGGUACCGGGAUAGCCCGGGGAAACCCGGAUUAAUACCGGAUGGCCCAACAGCUCUUCGGGGCGGUUGGAAAAGGUAGCUUCGGCCUCCGACCGAGGACGAGCUCGCGGCGGAUUAGCUUGUUGGCGGGGUAACGGCCCACCAAGGCGACGAUCCGUAGCUGGUCUGAGAGGACGAUCAGCCACACUGGGACUGAGACACGGCCCAGACUCCUACGGGAGGCAGCAGUGGGGAAUCUUGCGCAAUGGGCGAAAGCCUGACGCAGCGACGCCGCGUGCGGGAAGAAGGCCUUCGGGUUGUAAACCGCUUUCAGGAGGGACGAAGCCACUCGGGUUAAUAGCCCAGAGGGUGACGGUACCUCCAGAAGAAGCCCCGGCUAACUACGUGCCAGCAGCCGCCGUAACAC